rnacentral:rRNA from 1 species
AUUGAACGCUGGCGGCAGGCCUAACACAUGCAAGUCGAGCGGUAGAGAGAAGCUUGCUUCUCUUGAGAGCGGCGGACGGGUGAGUAAUGCCUAGGAAUCUGCCUGGUAGUGGGGGAUAACGUUCGGAAACGAACGCUAAUACCGCAUACGUCCUACGGGAGAAAGCAGGGGACCUUCGGGCCUUGCGCUAUCAGAUGAGCCUAGGUCGGAUUAGCUAGUUGGUGAGGUAAUGGCUCACCAAGGCGACGAUCCGUAACUGGUCUGAGAGGAUGAUCAGUCACACUGGAACUGAGACACGGUCCAGACUCCUACGGGAGGCAGCAGUGGGGAAUAUUGGACAAUGGGCGAAAGCCUGAUCCAGCCAUGCCGCGUGUGUGAAGAAGGUCUUCGGAUUGUAAAGCACUUUAAGUUGGGAGGAA